GGAGAUGUAGUUCAGUUGGUAGAGUAUUUGCCUAGCAUGCACAAAGCCCUGGGAUCAAUCCCCAGCUUCUCAU
rnacentral:tRNA from 1 species